rnacentral:rRNA from 1 species
GGACUACCGGGGUAUCUAAUCCUGUUUGCUCCCCUAGCUUUCGCGCCUCAGCGUCAGUAAUGGUCCAGUGAGCCGCUUUCGCCACAGGUGUUCCUUCCGAUAUCUACGCAUUUCACCGCUACACCGGAAAUUCCACUCACCUCUCCCAUACUCAAGCCCGGCAGUUUUCGAUGCAGACUUCGAGUUGAGCCCGAAGAUUUCACACCAAACUUGCCAAACCGCCUACGCGCCCUUUACGCCCAAUAAUUCCGAACAACGCUUGCCCCCCUCGUAUUACCGCGGCUGCUGGCAC